rnacentral:tRNA from 5 species
GCGCCCUUAGCUCAGCUGGAUAGAGCGUCGGACUACGAAUCCGCAGGCCGGGGGUUCGAAUCCCUCAGGGCGCGCCA